rnacentral:tRNA from 1 species
UGGGGGAUCGUUCAGCGGUAGGACAGCUGACUCUGAAUCAGUCAACCGUGGUUCGAAUCCACGUCCCCCAGCCA